rnacentral:misc_RNA from 1 species
AUGAUGGACUCUGAGAAGAAAUGUAAUCGAACGGCCAUCGGAAUUGAUGAAAACAUGUCUUCGAUGAAAAGUUCGAAAGAAGAGACGUCAAAUUUUCAAAAAUCGAAAUCUCAAACGGCGGUGGAGGCGGAAUCAUCGGCGGCAGGCUCGUCGAGAGGGAGUGGUUGUUUCUCGAGGCGGGACAAGGUGACCGAUAUUCUCGACAAACAAUCGUCCACCGAUUCCCCGAAAAUAUUCAAAUCUUCGAGAUUCGGGAACGAGGAGAGUCACGAGAAUAGAUGGAAGAAAUUUUGGGACCAUCAUCGAAACAAAUUUCGACAGAGGUGCGAGAAGGAUCUCGCGACGAGGAAUCGUUCGCUCGAGGAGAUGACGACCGAGGUGGACGCUGUGUUUCGAAAGGCGAUUCGAAAUAUUCGUUUCGAUCGAUCUUCCACCGCGGACGAGAGCUGUCCAGAGAAGGAUAACAAGAGUGGGAAAGGGACGGCGAGCGUGUCGCAAAGUGUGGAGAAAUCGUUACAGCAACGAUCGAGGUUGGCUCGUUCGAAGGAGGAAGGUACGUUUACGAACAAAAUGGAAGAACACGAUGAUCCUUCGCCUCUUAAAAACAGCGAAGGGAGAGGGGAGGAAAAUACGUUGAACGCGAUCAGUCGUGCCAAUUUUCCCCUCGUGGAAAUUAAUAGGGGGGAAUGGAAUGAAAACACGAGGGCAAAAAAUCCUUCGAUCAGGAAAUGGAGCUCGUUGGAAAAUUUAUCCAUCAACGCGAGAGGAGGGAAUUCUUGCGAUCGGAGCAUAGAGGGCCUAUCGAUCGAAAGAGUAAUCGGAUGCAAGGAAAAGAGAAGGAUCGAGUCUUUGAGGUCUUCGUUGGAAAGGAAAAUGGGAUCUGUGGAGAGGAUGUUGGAGGAUCAGAUAGAGAAAAUAUGGGACGAGAAAGUGGAGAAACAUCCGUGGUUGUUGCCUAUCGACAAUUGGAUCGUUGAUCGUUGCAGAUCUUCUCGAAAGUGUUCUUCUGCCGUUCAAAACAGGAGAAACGAUAGUUUACACACGGAGGAAGGGAAUUCGGUGGAGAAAGAACGAAUUGAAGAGAGUUUCGAUUCUAAAUUUAUCGCUUCGGGAACGGGAGACGGAGAGGGAAGGGUGGAGAUGAAAUCGAUUGAACAUUUGAAGAAGCCGGAAAGAUUGAAAUUCGAAAAUAUGAACUCGAAUUCGAGAUUGAAGAGGCUCGAUCAGUCGAAGGAGGGAGAAGUUUUGGAGAUGAAAGAUGUAAAACACUAUGACCUAUUUGAUAAACUGAAGGACAAUGUUAAAGAGAAAAUGGAGGAUAUUCACAGGUACUUCCAAAGGACCAAUCGAUUGGCAGAUGUAAAUAGACGAUUAAAGUCGCAAAUAUGGAGCUCCGUGGUGACGAUCGUUCUCGUGGAGGCGAAGAAUUUGCUACCUAUGGAUAUAGAGGGCCUCUCGGAUCCCUACGUAAAAUUUCGUCUUGGGACAGAAAAGUACAAGUCAAAAGUGGUGCACAAGACCUUGAAUCCCGUUUGGUUGGAGCAAUUCGAUCUUCACCUAUACGAAGAUCCCUAUUUAGGGCAGGAGUUGGAGGUGACGGUGUGGGAUCGCGAUAAAAGCCAUCAGGAUGACCUAAUGGGGAAGACGGUGAUAGAUUUGGCAACGCUCGAACGCGAGACGACUCACAGGCUAUGGCGCGAUCUCGAGGACGGUUCUGGAAACAUUUUUCUCCUGUUGACCAUCAGUGGAACUACCGCCAGUGAAACGAUCAGCGAUCUAGCUGCCCACGAGGAGACUCCUCGCGAACGCGAACAAUUGUACCAAAGAUAUUCAAUGAGAAACACGUUGCAGAGGUUGCGAGAUGUUGGCCAUUUAACUGUUAAGGUAUUCAGAGCGCAAGGUCUCGCGGCGGCCGAUUUGGGCGGGAAGAGCGAUCCUUUUUGCGUGUUGGAAUUGGUGAACGCUAGAUUGCAGACUCAGACGGAGUACAAAACGCUGGCUCCAAACUGGCAAAAAAUAUUUACUUUCAACGUGAAAGAUAUUAAUUCGGUGCUGGAGGUGACGGUGUACGACGAGGACAGGGACCACAAGGUGGAGUUUCUCGGGAAAGUUGCCAUACCUCUUUUGAAGAUAAGGAACGGUGAAAAACGAUGGUACGCGUUGAAGGACAAGAAAUUGAGAGGUCGAGCAAAAGGGAAUUCCCCCCAAAUUCUGUUGGAAAUGACCGUGGUGUGGAACGUUGUGAGAGCCUGUGUACGAACGUUGAAUCCCAAAGAGAAGAAAUACAUGGAACCGGAGAUAAAGUUCAAGAGACAAGUGUUUCUGCGUAACGUUCUCAGAUUGAAGGCAAUCAUCGUUAUCGUUAUCGACAUUGGAAAUUAGGAGCUGCUGGGAAUGGGAAAGUAAAAUGAGAAGCAUCUUUGCACUGGUUAUCUUUGUUUUGGGCUGUUACUAUUUUGAGCCUUACAUGUUCCCUGGAAUAGCACUCCUUAUCUUGUUAAAAUACUAUCUGCUUUACGGGGAUGGAAAUGGAUUGAAACAAUGGAUUUCCGGACAGGUCGCGAUGAUAACCGGUACGCCCCUGACCCAUCACACCACCCAUUCGCACUUUCACGACGAGAUCGACGAAGGUCCAGCCACUCCAGGGGACGACGACGACGACGACGACGACAAGGA